AGGCAGCCUCGUUGCCUUAGAUCAUCAUGGCAAUGAAGGCGUUACACUGCUCGGAUAGUAAAUAUUGCUUUUGCUCUUCAGUCUUGCUGAGAUUUAUUGAUGAAGCUGUACUUAUAGUAAGCCUAAGCACAUU